UUAUGGAUUGUAGGACUCUCGGCAAUGGAUAUCUCGGCUCUUGCAUCGAUGAAGAGCGCAGCGAAAUGCGAUACGUGGUGCGAAUUGCAGAAUCCCGUGAACCAUCGAGUUUUUGAACGCAAGUUGCGCCUGAGGCCAACUGGCCGAGGGCACGUCCGCCUGGGCAUCAUGC
rnacentral:rRNA from 1 species